AGUCAGCCUGGCAACAUGAACUCUGUUUGACUUCUGCUACCCAUGUUACCCAUGCUGCCAUAGUUCCAUGCCAAGUGUACCUAAUGAAGUGACCAAGGGCUCCAUGAGGACUGCAGACUGUUUGUUGUCGUUGCAGAAAAGGACACACAUGAUGAGUUGAUCGCCAUGACGGGGGGGCUUCCUGCGUGUUGAAACAUCUGGGGUGGUAACUUCAGGGAGACCCCGGCUCGCCCACGGCGCCGCUAUUGGCUCAUCGCUGACGUGAUUCCACGGAGGAGUCGGCUUGAAGACUUUAUAAAAGCUUCCCUGCGCGCUGCGAGUCACUCUCUGUGAAAGCAAUCUUGCAGAAAGAUCAUCACACCUCCACACCAAAAGGCGCACCAUG